rnacentral:rRNA from 1 species
UACGUAGGGUGCAAGCGUUAAUCGGAAUUACUGGGCGUAAAGCGUGCGCAGGCGGUUUUGUAAGUUUGUCGUGAAAUCCCCGGGCUCAACCUGGGAAUUGCGUUGGAGACUGCAAGGCUAGAAUCUGGCAGAGGGGGGUAGAAUUCCACGUGUAGCAGUGAAAUGCGUAGAGAUGUGGAGGAACACCGAUGGCGAAGGCAGCCCCCUGGGUCAAGAUUGACGCUCAUGCACGAAAGCGUGGGGAGCAAACAGG